CAGUAGGGUAUGCACCAGAUAUGCCAACUUCCUUCUUCAAAAGAUGAAAAAAGUCGCGCAAAUGAAGCUUCAAGCUCAUCAUCAAGUCAAGGCUGAAAAAAUAAUAUCUGGGAGACCAGAAAAUAAGACUAACCAGUGACCAGAAAAUAAGACUAACCCAGUAUCAUCUGGAGCAAAAGUUUUUUCUUCUAUGCAGGGAAAACAACAUCCGAAAGAGGAAGAGUAUCUAAAUUUCACUAGAUACAUUUACAAUCUACCAGAACAAAGUGGAGAAACAUAUGGAGUUUUAGAGACAACUAGCUUGUCUAUAUUCCCAAAUGGAAUACCGAGCUUUACAGCUCAAUUGUUCGAGUUCGGAUAUCUGGAUCGAGUAUAUACAGGUCCAGAAUUGAAAGAAAUAUCUCAACUACCAACAAGAUUGUUCAAAGCAAUCAAAGAUUUCAGCCAAGGCGAUGGAGGUGUAUAUUGCAGAUUCUACAGCAUUUCAAUGGAGUGCCAAGAUUCGCAAGCAGUAAUCCAACACUCAACUACAUUUCUGUUGAAAAAAAUAAAAGAUUUUAAUGUUAAGGUUACGGGAGUAGACAAAAAACUUCCUUAUCUUAACAAGAAAUGGAUACAAACUAGAAGAGCAUUAGGGAUAAAAGCCUUAUAUGCUAUUAUUCUAAAUAGAUUUUACAAAGAUGAUUUCAGGGUGAUAAGAUCAAGACACUAAUUGGGUUCUUAUCUACAAAGGAAGAUCAAAAUUAGAAAUACUCAAAGAAAGAAUCCUAGAUAUUGAGCUCCACAGAUUAGGAACACAACCAUGAUCGAUGAAGGAGAAGAUCGAUGAAGAACGUAAGCACUUACGUAAUCAUACACAAAACGUAAGCACUUACGUUAACAAAGAAGAAAAAGACAAAAAGAAAAAAGAAGAUACUUUUCUUUAUAAAAGAAAAAUCAUAUCCUGUCGGCUAGUGACAGAAAGCAGCACAUGUGACAUAAAACAAAGUUAUUGGCAAGGAAUCUUUGGAUUCGAAAGAGCCAAUAGAUAAAAAUGUAAUAUUUAAAGGAAGUCCUUUAAAUAAAAGUGGAUUGUAAAUAGACCCUUCCGGAUAUCUAUAUAAGGAGUAGAGUUUCAUAUGUAUAGGGGAGUCGAGUGUGGAGUGUUAGAGAGUCUUAGAGUAAGAAAAAUAUUUUAUGAGUUAAAAUUAUGAGUGAGUAAGUAACUUCUCUCGUUAGGGAAAAGUGUUUCUAUUAAUGUUGUAAUUAAUAUAUACUUAUAAUAUGUAAGUGAGAUUAUUAUAUAUGAAAUAAAAGUCAGUUUAUAUAUCUAUUUUCUUCAAACUUAAUAAAUAGUUCAAAGUGGAAGUUGCGAUUUCCAGCCUGAAGGAGGAAUAGUUCGAAAGUAGCCGAAGGUGUGAAGGCGAAAAAUACUAUUCAUAGCCGGAAAGGAGAAAUGCUGCGGCAUUGAUAAAACUAUUUAUCAACAAGAGGAAGUAAGAUGAUGACUGUAUCUGAUCAGUCUUUAAACCGAAUGAACGUGGGAAUUGGGAGUGAUUGAGAGGAAUGUUGCUAAGACAGAUAAGUCCUGUUUGAUUUCAACAGUUUGCGCAAAGAAAUGACUCUUUGAAACUCGAAAAUAAUACAUUGUAAAAAUGUUUUAUGCUUGUGGAUGAUGGGGUUGUUGAGGUAUUGAAUUUGUAAGAAGGUGGAGCUUUCAAAGAUAUUCUCAAGGCCCUUUAGAGGUUUAUUUGUCUUUUUUUUCCUGUUUCUUUCUUCUGAGGAAAAUGUUGAUGAUAA